AGUCGUAACAAGGUAUCCGUAGGUGAACCUGCGGAUGGAUCAUUAGCAAAGCAAAUAUAGUUUUGUAAGUAUUGUGAACAGUUUUGAAUGUGGGCAGCAGUUGGGUGUUUUAUCGGUGUAUGUUGAUGUAUGUCGAUGUAUAUGUCGAUGAAGGGCUGGCUGCGCCGGGUUUGUACACGUAUUGUGCGCGACGACUGACGUCUACUUUAGUAGUGUAAAGUACAGACAACUUUUAGCAACGGAUCUCUUGGCUCUC
rnacentral:misc_RNA from 1 species